rnacentral:rRNA from 1 species
AGCAGAGAUGCUUUAGUGCCUUCGGGAACUCUGAGACAGGUGCUGCAUGGCUGUCGUCAGCUCGUGUUGUGAAAUGUUGGGUUAAGUCCCGCAACGAGCGCAACCCUUAUCCUUUGUUGCCAGCACGUAAUGGUGGGAACUCAAAGGAGACUGCCGGUGAUAAACCGGAGGAAGGUGGGGAUGACGUCAAGUCAUCAUGGCCCUUACGAGUAGGGCUACACACGUGCUACAAUGGCGCAUACAAAGAGAAGCGACCUCGCGAGAGCAAGCGGACCUCAUAAAGUGCGUCGUAGUCCGGAUUGGAGUCUGCAACUCGACUCCAUGAAGUCGGAAUCGCUAGUAAUCGUAAAUCAGAAUGUUACGGUGAAUACGUUCCCGGGCCCUGUACACACCGCCCGUCACACCAUGGGAGUGGGUUGCAAAAGAAGUAGAUAGCUUAACCUUCGGGAGGGCGUUUACCACUUUGUGAUUCAUGACUGGGGUGAAGUCGUAACAAGGUAAGCGUAGUGCU